rnacentral:miRNA from 1 species
CAGUAGUCCGCACAUUGGUUA